GACCUACGGGGGGCAGCAGUGGGGAAUAUUGCACAAUGGGGGAAACCCUGAUGCAGCGACGCCGCGUGAAGGAAGAAGUAUUUCGGUAUGUAAACUUCUAUCAGCAGGGAAGAAAAUGACGGUACCUGACUAAGAAGCCCCGGCUAACUACGUGCCAGCAGCCGCGGUAAUACGUAGGUGGCGAGCGUUGUCCGGAUUUACUGGGUGUAAAGGGCGUGCAGCCGGGCUGACAAGUCAGAUGUGAAAUCCCGCGGCUCAACCGCGGAACUGCAUUUGAAACUGUCAGUCUUGAGUACCGGAGCGGU
rnacentral:rRNA from 1 species